UACGUAGGAUGCAAGCGUUGUCCGGAUUUAUUGGGCGUAAAGAGUUCGUAGGUGGUUCGUUAAGUCUGGUGUUAAAGACUGGGGCUCAACCCCGGGAAUGCCCUGGAUACUGGCGGACUGGAGUGAAGUAGAGGCAAGCGGAAUUCCAGGUGUAGCGGUGAAAUGCGUAGAUAUCUGGAAGAACACCGGUGGCGUAAGCGGCUUGCUGGGCUUUAACUGACACUGAGGAACGAAAGCUAGGGGAGCGAAUGGG
rnacentral:rRNA from 1 species